UGUUAGUGGUGAGCUCACCUUGGUUC
rnacentral:piRNA from 1 species